AGAGUUUGAUCCUGGCUCAGAGCGAACGCUGGCGGCAGGCCUAACACAUGCAAGUCGAACGGACCCUUCGGGGUUAGUGGCGGACGGGUGAGUAACACGUGGGAACGUGCCUUUAGGUUCGGAAUAGCUCCUGGAAACGGGUGGUAAUGCCGAAUGUGCCCUUCGGGGGAAAGAUUUAUCGCCUUUAGAGCGGCCCGCGUCUGAUUAGCUAGUUGGUGAGGUAAUGGCUCACCAAGGCGACGAUCAGUAGCUGGUCUGAGAGGAUGACCAGCCACAUUGGGACUGAGACACGGCCCAAACUCCUACGGGAGGCAGCAGUGGGGAAUCUUGCGCAAUGGGCGAAAGCCUGACGCAGCCAUGCCGCGUGAAUGAUGAAGGUCUUAGGAUUGUAAAAUUCUUUCACCGGGGACGAUAAUGACGGUACCCGGAGAAGAAGCCCCGGCUAACUUCGUGCCAGCAGCCGCGGUAAUACGAAGGGGGCUAGCGUUGCUCGGAAUUACUGGGCGUAAAGGGCGCGUAGGCGGAUCGUUAAGUCAGAGGUGAAAUCCCGGAGCUCAACUUCGGAACUGCCUUUGAUACUGGCGAUCUUGAGUGUGAGAGAGGUAUGUGGAACUCCGAGUGUAGAGGUGAAAUUCGUAGAUAUUCGGAAGAACACCAGUGGCGAAAGCGACAUACUGGCUCAUUACUGACGCUGAGGCGCGAAAGCGUGGGGAGCAAACAGGAUUAGAUACCCUGGUAGUCCACGCCGUAAACGAUGAUUGCUAGUUGUCGGGCUGCAUGCAGUUCGGUGACGCA
rnacentral:rRNA from 1 species